GUGUCAGCAGCCGCGGUAAUACAGAGGUCCCAAGCGUUGUUCGGAUUUACUGGGCGUAAAGGGUGCGUAGGGGGCUUGGCAAGUCAGGUGUGAAAUCUCACCGCCUAACGGUGAAACUGCAUUUGAUACUGCCGAGCUUGAGGAUCGGAGAGGAGAACGGAAUUCCUGGUGUAGCGGUGAAAUGCGUAGAUAUCAGGAGGAACAUCAAUUGCGAAGGCAGUUCUCUGGACGGUUCCUGACCCUGAGGCACGAAGGCCAGGGGAGCAAACGGGAUUAGAUACCCCGGUAGUCC
rnacentral:rRNA from 1 species